AUAGCAUGAAGGAUGUGGCAGACACUGGAUGCAUCAUUCAACUGUCUUCCAGCCCUUCACAGUAUAAGCAGAACAGGUUGUAGGGUAUACUUUUUAGCAGGAAUGAGGGGGAAUAAAGAGAAGAAGAACUGUAGGAUUGAUGGAGGAGAUCAAUGUGGAGGAAGAGAUCCUUGAAUGAAAUUUCCUCCACUUGCCACCUAUGUUCACUUUCAGCAAUGAGCCUGUUACUGUUCCAGAAGGACAUUCCCUCUUAUUCCAUGAAUGCAUAGUUUGCUGAAGAAUCUUUGAGAGUCCAGAUACACAAAAUCCACUGGAUCACCUUUGUCCACAUUUAUUGAACUCCCUCAAAGAAUUCUAAUAGAUUGGUGAACAACGCCCCAGUGUGAUGGAGUAUGAGUAGUCUAAGGCUGCCACCACUUGGCAAGUGUCCCCACCUGGGCCAAAAUGAGGAGAUAAGUGGUAAAGGACUGGAUGAACCAGAGAAGCCUGAAAUCUCAGGGAUGUGUGAUAUCUGCCUACGGAGAAGAAGGGAGCUCCCAUUGACUUCGGCUGCAGCUGUGAGGGCUCAGCACUUCUGCGAAUUGGAUCCCAGAUGUCUCAAAUCACAUACCCAGAAAAUGAGGAGCACACAGUAGCUACCUGUGAAUAUCAUGCUUGAAGACAUGUACCCAGCAUCACAUGGGACCACAGUAGCAGAUGCAGAGAUAGAAGCCAAUUCUCCAGAAUGGUAUUCAGAUGUCUUAACCAGGAGAACAUCCUUUCUUUUCCUUCAAUCCCCUGCCUUAUUCACUGCAUGCCUUCUAAUUUCUGCAAUAAAUGAGGGUUCUACAGAUAACAGUCUCAUUCACUAUAUAACCCUGAUUCAUUCCCUGAGCAUAGUCUGUCCUGUGCACUGAAUGAGUCAAGGAUC